rnacentral:rRNA from 1 species
CCUACGGGAGACAGCAGUGAGGAAUAUUGGUCAAUGGGAGAGAUCCUGAACCAGCCAAGCCGCGUGAGGGAAGACGGCCCUAUGGGUUGUAAACCUCUUUUGUCGGAGAACAAAACCCGGGACGUGUCCCGGACUGCGUGUCUCCGAAGAAAAAGCAUCGGCUAACCCCGUGCCAGCAGCCGCGGUAAUACGGAGGAUGCGGGCGUUAUCCGGAUUUAUUGGGUUUAAAGGGUGCGUAGGCGGUCCGUUAAGUCAGCGGUAAAAUUGCGGGGCUCAACCCCGGCGAGCCGUUGAAACUGGCAGACUGGAGUGGGCGAGAAGUACGCGGAAUGCGCGGUGUAGCGGUGAAAUGCAUAGAUAUCGCGCAGAACUCCGAUUGCGAAGGCAGCGUACCGGCGCCAGACUGACGCUGAGGCACGAAAGCGUGGGGAUCGAACAGGAUUAGAUACCCGUGUAGUC